rnacentral:rRNA from 1 species
GACGAACGCUGGCGGCGUGCCUAACACAUGCAAGUCAACUUGACUGAAGGAGCAAUCUGACAGUAGAGUGGCGCAAGGGUGCGUAACGCGUAAGUAACUUGCCCCAAGGUAAGGAAUAACGCCGAGAAAUCGGCGCUAAUACCUCAUAAUGCAGCGGAUCCGCAUGGAUAUGUUGUUAAAGGUUUACCGCCUUGGGAUAGGCUUGCGUCUGAUUAGCUAGUUGGUGUGGUAAACGGCACACCAAGGGCUACGAUCAGUAACUGGUCUGAGAGGAUGAUCAGUCACACUGGAA